UACAGGGGGUGCUAGCGUUAAUCGGAAUUACUGGGCGUAAAGCGUGCGCAGGCGGUUUUGUAAGUCUGAUGUGAAAUCCCCGGGCUCAACCUGGGAAUUGCAUUGGAGGCUGCAAGGCUAGAAUCUGGCAGAGGGGGGUAGAAUUCCACGUGUAGCAGUGAAAUGCGUAGAGAUGUGGAGGAACACCGAUGGCGAAGGCAGCCCCCUGGGUCAAGAUUGACGCUCAUGCACGAAAGCGUGGGGAGCAAACAGG
rnacentral:rRNA from 1 species